rnacentral:rRNA from 1 species
AUUGAACGCUGGCGGCAUGCCUUACACAUGCAAGUCGAACGGUAACAGGUCUUCGGAUGCUGACGAGUGGCGAACGGGUGAGUAAUACAUCGGAACGUGCCCGAGAGUGGGGGAUAACGAGGCGAAAGCUUUGCUAAUACCGCAUACGAUCUCAGGAUGAAAGCAGGGGACCGCAAGGCCUUGCGCUCACGGAGCGGCCGAGGGCAGAUUAGGUAGUUGGUGGGAUAAAAGCUUACCAAGCCGACGAUCUGUAGCUGGUCUGAGAGGACGACCAGCCAAACUGGGACUGAGACACGGCCCAGACUCCUACGGGAGGCAGCAGUGGGGAAUUUUGGACAAUGGGCGCAAGCCUGAUCCAGCCAUGCCGCGUGCAGGAUGAAGGCCUUCGGGUUGUAAACUGCUUUUGUACGGAACGAAACGGUCCUGGUUAAUACCCGGGGCUAAUGACGGUACCGUAAGAAUAAGCACCGGCUAACUACGUGCCAGCAGCCGCGGUAACAC